rnacentral:rRNA from 1 species
UCAUAGUGAUCCGGUGGUUCUGAAUGGAAGGGCCAUCGCUCAACGGAUAAAAGGUACUCCGGGGAUAACAGGCUGAUACCGCCCAAGAGUUCAUAUCGACGGCGGUGUUUGGCACCUCGAUGUCGGCUCAUCACAUCCUGGGGCUGAAGUAGGUCCCAAGGGUAUGGCUGUUCGCCAUUUAAAGUGGUACGCGAGCUGGGUUUAGAACGUCGUGAGACAGUUCGGUCCCUAUCUGCCGUGGGCGCUGGAGAACUGAGGGGGGCUGCUCCUAGUACGAGAGGACCGGAGUGGACGCAUCACUGGUGUUCGGGUUGUCAUGCCAAUGGCACUGCCCGGUAGCUAAAUGCGGAAGAGAUAAGUGCUGAAAGCAUCUAAGCACGAAACUUGCCCCGAGAUGAGUUCUCCCUGACUCCUUGAGAGUCCUGAAGGAACGUUGAAGACGACGACGUUGAUAGGCCGGGUGUGUAAGCGCAGCGAUGCGUUGAGCUAACCGGUACUAAUGAACCGUGAGGCUUAACCUUACAACGCCGAAGGUGUUU